GACGAACGCUGGCGGCGUGCCUAAUACAUGCAAGUAGAACGCAGUUGCGAACGGGUGAGUAACGCGUAGGUAACUGCCUCAUAGCGGGGGAUAACUAUCGGAAACGAUAGCUAAUACCGCAUACUUUGGGAUGGACCUGCGUUGUAUUAGCUAGUUGGUGAGGUUAAGGCUCACAAAGGCGACGAUACAGAGCCGACCUGAGAGGGUGUUCCGCCACACUGGGGAUGGGACACGGGCCCCACUCCUCCGCGGGGGAGCACGAGGGAAACUUCGGCAAUGGGCGGAAAUCUGACCUGGCAACGCCGCGUGAGUGAAGAAGGGUUUCUGAUCGUGAAGCUCUGUUGUUACGGGAGCGGUUACUAACCAGAAAGGGACGGCUAACUACGUGCCAGCAGCCGCGGUAAUUC
rnacentral:rRNA from 1 species